UCGGGAAUUUUGGGCAAUGGGCGAAAGCCUGACCCAGCAACGCCGCGUGAAGGAUGAAGUAUUUCGGUAUGUAAACUUCGUAAGAAUAGGAAGAAUAAAUGACGGUACUAUUUGUAAGGUCCGGCUAACUACGUGCCAGCAGCCGCGGUAAUACGUAGGGACCAAGCGUUGUUCGGAUUUACUGGGCGUAAAGGGCGCGUAGGCGGUUUGUCAAGUCAGUUGUGAAAUCUCCGAGCUUAACUCGGAACGGUCAACUGAUACUGUCAAACUAGAGUACAGAAGGGGCAAUCGGAAUUCUUGGUGUAGCGGUGAAAUGCGUAGAUAUCAAGAGGAACACCUGAGGCGAAGGCGGGUUGCUGGGCUGAUACUGACGCUGAAGCGCGAAAGCUAGGGUAGCAAACGGGAUUAGAUACCCUUGUAGUCCCUGAGCGGGCUGGCAAGGCGCAU
rnacentral:rRNA from 1 species